AGGUCGCCAACACUGGAAGGCUUUCAUCCACUAUGAACAUUCCGUUAAUGACGCUCUACGGCCAUGCUCAUGGGCACAGAGUGACUGGGACCUGUGAAUGAGUCCACAUGGGAGCAUGUACACCCUGAAGCAUCUCUGGCUGUGGCUAAGUCUGCUCAAGAGCAAGUGCACCUGAAAGAAUCUGACUAUAGAGAAAUUUGUGUUGCAGCAGGUGUACCUUACAGUGUCCCUGUGGAUUAGGUCAUGCAAGAAUAUCUUGAAACAUCUAUGGCCAUAGAUAAGAUCACAAAAGAGCAGGUGUCUGAAGGAACUUUAGUCAAUGGAAAAUGAUGCAACAGGGCAGGUACACCUCAAAGAGUCUGUGGCUGUGAUUUAAAAGUAGUUCUACUGCUUUCCUGACUUCAUUUUAUAUGCAUAUUUUAAAACCUUCUCAUAUUUUCUUAUUCUGUUGCUACUUAUUUUCAAGGUGACACUGGAUAUGUCGUGUGUGCAUGUAUGUGAUAAAGACUCUCAUUGAACUUUGUGAAUGUUUUUUGCUGACAUAAUACCAACUACAGAGUCACGAGGGUUUUUAAACCCUUUCAAACAUCCUGAAACACUGCAAUUAUUGGGAUUAUUUGCUUCUGGCUAUGUCGUUGAAACACUUGCUUUUUCACUUACUAUUUAAAACUAAUAAAAAUGCAUCUAGUAGAUGUGGGGUGACACUUUCUGUGACCAUGCUAUGAGCUGUAGUACACAAAUAAGCCCUAGAAGAGAGUAAGUGAUGAGUCUUUAUGAACUCAAUAAAUUCCUGCUGUACAUAAGUCUUUGAAUGUCAGCAGAAUUGUUAAAUCUUAAUGAGCAAUUAAUUAAAGCAAUAUUCAUAU
rnacentral:lncRNA from 7 species